CUGGAAUCUUCUUCAGUUCUAAUUCGUCUCUCCGAAGUUGGUGAAUAAAUACCUCCUGAUAUCAGUAAGAUUCGGGACACCUGAUUUCUGGGUAUGAUGAUGUAUCCGGCGGGACGUACCAUGUCAUCAUUCUGUGUCCCGUAAAUAGUUCAGGGGUUAGGGUUCUUGUUACAAUAUUUCUAAUAUUGCAAGUUUAAUUCCCACAAAAGUUAAUUCAGCCUUUUAUCAUGUACAAGCUCAAUAAAGUGAGUACUAUUUAAUGGGGUAAUAAUUACAUGGAGACGAUAGAACAGUUAUAGAAACUUGUGACAAUGUAAAUGUGCCUAUCCAGGUUAAAUGCCUUGAUAUAAUAAACAAAGAGUACAACUUUAAGAGCAGGGGUGCCAACACUUAUCUGAGUGGUUAGCAGG